AUCCAGCUGACAAGUCGCAAGUAAGAUGGAACGCGCGUCCUGGAC
rnacentral:hammerhead_ribozyme from 1 species